AGAGUUUGAUUAUGGCUCAGAUUGAACGCUGGCGGCAUGCCUUACACAUGCAAGUCGAACGGCAGCACGGGAGCAAUCCUGGUGGCGAGUGGCGAACGGGUGAGUAACGUAUCGGAACGUACCUUUCAGUGGGGGAUAACGUAGCGAAAGUUACGCUAAUACCGCAUAUUCUGUGAGCAGGAAAGCAGGGGAUCGCAAGACCUUGCGCUGAUUGAGCGGCCGAUAUCAGAUUAGCUAGUUGGUGAGGUAAAGGCUCACCAAGGCGACGAUCUGUAGCGGGUCUGAGAGGAUGAUCCGCCACACUGGAACUGAGACACGGUCCAGACUCCUACGGGAGGCAGCAGUGGGGAAUUUUGGACAAUGGGGGCAACCCUGAUCCAGCCAUGCCGCGUGAGUGAAGAAGGCCUUCGGGUUGUAAAGCUCUUUCAGCCGGGAAGAAAUCACAUGGGUUAAUACCCUGUGUGGAUGACGGUACCGGAAUAAGAAGCACCGGCUAACUACGUGCCAGCAGCCGCGGUAAUACGUAGGGUGCGAGCGUUAAUCGGAAUUACUGGGCGUAAAGCGUGCGCAGGCGGUUUGUUAAGAUAGGCGUGAAAUCCCCGGGCUCAACCUGGGAACUGCGUUUAUGACUGGCAGGCUAGAGUAUGGCAGAGGGGGGGUGGAAUUCCACGUGUAGCAGUGAAAUGCGUAGAGAUGUGGAGGAACACCGAUGGCGAAGGCAGCCCCCUGGGCCAAUACUGACGCUCAUGCACGAAAGCGUGGGUAGCAAACAGGAUUAGAUACCCUGGUAGUCCACGCCCUAAACGAUGUCAACUAGGUGUUGGGUGGGUAAAACCAUUUAGUACCGGAGCUAACGCGUGAAGUUGACCGCCUGGGGAGUACGGCCGCAAGGUUAAAACUCAAAUGAAUUGACGG
rnacentral:rRNA from 1 species